ACGGUCACAUCACGCUCAAACACCGGUUCCCGUACGAUCACAGAAGUUAAGCAAUGUCGACCCUGGUCAUUACCUAGAUGGUUGAGUGUUUGGGAAUGCCAGUGC